AUGUGCAAACACCUGAUGACAAAACCAAAUCUGAAAAGAUGGAAAAGGCAGUGGGUUUAAUGGGUUUUAAUGCAAAAAUAUGCAUGUGUUUGAAUUCAGAGCAGCAAAGGGAAAAGGGCUGUUUCUCCAGUAAUGUAUUUUUUAUUUCUCAUUCUUUUUUAUAGCCUUUGCUAUUAAUUUUUCAGACUUUCUGGUCUUUUAUAAGUUAGCAAACUGUACUGCAUCACUUGUAUUUCAGAUUUUCCUGACUGGAUUGAAAAAAACCUGGAACCGAUCUCAGAGGCAGCUGGAGUUAAGUGAAGUCGAUGGAACUGCUGCCAAGGAGAGGGUUGCAACUGAAGCCAGCAUGGGAGAGGAUACAACCUCUAUGGAAACGUUUCCUCCUCUGUGCCUGCUGCAAGUGCCACACAGUGGAUUGUCAUUAUUCAACAGAGACUCUAAGUGCCAUGAAAAAUAAAUGAUUAAACUACAACUAUUUCAGUAGAUAAGUUUGUUUUUAUGAUAGCUGACACGGUACAUGGCCUGGGAGUUUCACACAAAUACUUUAGGAGGAGGAAAUGCUGUUUAACUUCCAUUGAAAGAGAGAAGAAAUGCACACCUGCAUACGCAGGUUUCUUCAACUCCACAGCUGGAAGGUCAGUGCUGCCCUUAGCAGUUCCUAGCAACUGUGGGUAAGAACAGAAUGUGGGGGACCAGUGAGGACCCUGGGUUUGAGGGUCAAGUGGUAAUGCCUUUAAACUGAAAGAGGUAGAUUUAGACUAGAUAUUGGGAAGAAAUUCUUUACUAUGAGGGCAGUGAGGCACUGGCACAGGGUGCCCCGUGAAGCUGUGGCUGGCCCAUUCCUGGCAGUGUUCAAGGCCAGGUUGGACAGGGCUUGGAGCAAUCUGGUCUAGUGGAAGGUGCCCCUGCCCAUGGCAGGCGGUUAGAACUGAAUGAGCUUUAAUGUCUUUUCCAACCCAAAUCAUUCUGUUGUUCUAUGAUCUGUUACUUAGUGUGUUUCCCCCUUGUUUCUGAUGUGAUGCCUAUUUUGUUCUUUGUAACUACUGAAAAUAUAUAUUCACUCAUCCCAGAGAAGCAUGAGGGAAUCUUUGGGGUUUCUCUUUGACAUAAACUAUAGGUUCUGUGCAUGCUGUGGCAGCUCAAGUGCUUUAUUUUAGAAAUAAAUUUCAGAGUACUGCUUUGCUAGAUAAUACAUACAUAAAAAAAAGCAUCCAUGGUGCUUUUGGUGUUUGAGUAAUGAUGCAAAAGAGGCCAACACCUCAAUUUGAAUGUAAUUUCUAAAUCAUUGCAUUUGAACUUUCUGAUGAAAGUUGUUUGAGGGAGGGGCAGGUUAUGUCAAUUAAAACAUGUGGCUCUGGCUUGUGUAAGGAGCGCAGGUUUAAUCCCUGCUAAUGCUGUACAAGUAUUGUUGAUCCAGUGUUAUACAACCACCUGGAAAAGCUGCCAGGUAAAGCUUUUGGGUGCCUAUUGCUCAGCUGGAGGAGACUGUUAUCAGAAGGGGGAGUUUUGCAGUGCAAACAAGGAACAGUGCUUGAAACCUGCAGAGGGUAAACGGGAACAGGAGCAGCCAGGUAGCAGCCAGUGAGUACGUGGCAUAAUGUGAGUGGUGAUGGUGGUGGUAGGGUUCACAGGUGCUCUGGCAGCAACUUCAGUGCUGAGCUGCCAUUGUG